rnacentral:lncRNA from 1 species
AUGCAGAUGAGAGUGCACAAAGCCAUCCCUCUCGAGGUGAUUGGUGUCAGCAGGGCUGCUAUUAUCCUUGCUGUGUUGCUUUCUAAGAAAGGUAAAGACGUUCUCUGCUUGUCAUAUCCAGUAGGUAAAUGUAACUGCUCUUAUCCUUUAAUUCUCUGUUUCUCAAUUCUUAUUACCAAUCAGAUUGCAAGAAACAGUAGCCACAAAGGAGAUGCCAUCCAUCCUCCUGACCUCACUCUUCAAACUGUGGCCUUUGAAAUUCUGCAGUCCCUGGAAAUGUUGCUAAACAAAAUGUGGCAGAAUCAUCCACCAUCACAGGAGCUACAGUCUUCAAAGGAGGUUCAGAAAGAAGGAUCAGGAUAACCUAAGACAGUGUCUCUCCUAAUGUCCUGACCUGGGUGUAUGCGACCCUGGGGAGUUAGAAGCACAUCCCAGAACCCCUGACUUGUCUGCUUCCUAAAAAACUGUGAAGGACUAGCUAAUAUCUGGGAGUGCAAACUGCAUGCAUGCAAUACUUCUGUCCUGCGAUCUAAGUAUCUGGGAUUUAACUCCCAGAAGGUACAUUUCCACUUUUUACUUUAAAAGAGGCACUAUGGUAGGUCAUUGCUCUUUAAAUUAUUCUACAGAAGAAAACUUAAUGGCAGAAAUCUAUGAAUACAGCUCAGAUGAAACCAAAUAUAUUUAAAGUCUCCUCCUGUAUCUUACAAAUGUUGAGUAAAUUUGCAGCUUAUGUAUGUGUUGGUUUUAACAUAUGAAUAGUGUAUUUCCUCAAAAUAUUUGAGGAAAGUAAAGAUUUAUGCAUGAAAUUUCCUUCCAGGACAAAGAACACAUCGGUAUUUUGUGUGUCUGCUAUUGUUCCUCUAUACCCUAUCUCCUAUAGGCAUACAUUACUUUGUUUAAAAAAUGGUUAUGGGGGACCUGCUGUAUGGCACAGAGAACUCUACCCAAUAGUCUGUGAUAAACUAUGUAGG